rnacentral:rRNA from 1 species
UACGAAGGGGGCUAGCGUUGCUCGGAAUCACUGGGCGUAAAGGGCGCGUAGGCGGCGUUUUAAGUCGGGGGUGAAAGCCUGUGGCUCAACCACAGAAUGGCCUUCGAUACUGGGACGCUUGAGUCUGGUAGAGGUUGGUGGAACUGCGAGUGUAGAGGUGAAAUUCGUAGAUAUCGAGAGGAACACCGGUGGCGAAGGCGGCCAACUGGACGAAUACUGACGCUGAGACUCGAAAGCGUGGGGAGCAAACAGG